rnacentral:rRNA from 1 species
CUUGCUUCUCUUGAGAGCGGCGGACGGGUGAGUAAUGCCUAGGAAUCUGCCUGGUAGUGGGGGAUAACGUCCGGAAACGGACGCUAAUACCGCAUACGUCCUACGGGAGAAAGCAGGGGACCUUCGGGCCUUGCGCUAUCAGAUGAGCCUAGGUCGGAUUAGCUAGUUGGUGGGGUAAUGGCUCACCAAGGCGACGAUCCGUAACUGGUCUGAGAGGAUGAUCAGUCACACUGGAACUGAGACACGGUCCAGACUCCUACGGGAGGCAGCAGUGGGGAAUAUUGGACAAUGGGCGAAAGCCUGAUCCAGCCAUGCCGCGUGUGUGAAGAAGGUCUUCGGAUUGUAAAGCACUUUAAGUUGGGAGGAAGGGCAGUAAAUUAAUACUUUGCUGUUUUGACGUUACCGACAGAAUAAGCACCGGCUAACUCUGUGCCAGCAGCCGCGGUAAUACAGAGGGUGCAAGCGUUAAUCGGAAUUACUGGGCGUAAAGCGCGCGUAGGUGGUUCGUUAAGUUGGAUGUGAAAUCCCCGGGCUCAACCUGGGAACUGCAUUCAAAACUGACGAGCUAGAGUAUGGUAGAGGGUGGUGGAAUUUCCUGUGUAGCGGUGAAAUGCGUAGAUAUAGGAAGGAACACCAGUGGCGAAGCGACCACCUGGACUGAUACUGACACUGAGGUGCGAAAGCGUGGGGAGCAAACAGGAUUAGAUACCCUGGGUAGUCCACGCCGUAACGAUGUCAACUAGCCGUUUGGGAGCCUUGAGCUCUUAGUGGCCGCAGCUAACGCA